UGCUCAGGACGAACGCUGGCGGCGUGCCUAAUACAUGCAAGUCGAGCGGACUUGUAGGAGCUUGCUCCUGCAGGUUAGCGGCGGACGGGUGAGUAACACGUGGGCAACCUACCUAUAAGACUGGGAUAACUUCGGGAAACCGGAGCUAAUACCGGAUGACAUAAAGGAACUCCUGUUCCUUUAUUGAAAGAUGGCUUCGGCUAUCACUUACAGAUGGGCCCGCGGCGCAUUAGCUAGUUGGUGAGGUAACGGCUCACCAAGGCGACGAUGCGUAGCCGACCUGAGAGGGUGAUCGGCCACACUGGGACUGAGACACGGCCCAGACUCCUACGGGAGGCAGCAGUAGGGAAUCUUCCGCAAUGGACGAAAGUCUGACGGAGCAACGCCGCGUGAACGAUGAAGGCCUUCGGGUCGUAAAGUUCUGUUGUUAGGGAAGAACAAGUGCUAGUAAAUAAGCUGCACCUGACGGAC
rnacentral:rRNA from 1 species